rnacentral:rRNA from 1 species
GCCUUCCCUUGUGGCUGGUGCACAGGUGGUGCAUGGCUGUCGUCAGCUCGUGUCGUGAGAUGUUGGGUUAAGUCCCGCAACGAGCGCAACCCUUGUCCCAUGUUGCCAGCGGGUAAUGCCGGGGACUCGUGGGAGACUGCCGGGGUCAACUCGGAGGAAGGUGGGGACGACGUCAAGUCAUCAUGCCCCUUAUGCCCAGGGCUUCACACAUGCUACAAUGGCCAGUACAGAGGGUUGCGAGACCGUGAGGUGGAGCGAAUCCCUUAAAGCUGGUCUCAGUUCGGAUCGUAGUCUGCAACUCGACUACGUGAAGUCGGAGUCGCUAGUAAUCGCAGAUCAGCAACGCUGCGGUGAAUACGUUCCCGGGCCUUG